GAUGAACGCUAGCGGCAGGCCUAAUACAUGCAAGUCGAACGGUAACAUUCUCGCUUGCGAGAGAUGACGAGUGGCGCACGGGUGCGUAACGCGUAUGCAACCUACCCUUAACAGGGGGAUAGCCCGGAGAAAUCCGGAUUAAUACCCCAUAGUAUCACAUGAUGGCAUCAGAAAGUGAUUAAAGAUUUAUCGGUUAAGGAUGGGCAUGCGUGACAUUAGCUAGUUGGUGAGGUAAUAGCUCACCAAGGCAACGAUGUCUAGGGGGUCUGAGAGGAUGAUCCCCCACACUGGUACUGAGAUACGGACCAGACUCCUACGGGAGGCAGCAGUAGGGAAUAUUGGUCAAUGGGCGAGAGCCUGAACCAGCCAUGCCGCGUGCAGGAAGACGGCCUUCUGGGUUGUAAACUGCUUUUAUAUAGGAACAAAUAGCCCAUGCGUGGGAAGUUGAGUGUACUAUAUGAAUAAGCACCGGCUAACUCCGUGCCAGCCGCCGCCGUAACAC
rnacentral:rRNA from 1 species